CCUAUAAAUACGAGAAAUACCUAUAAAUACGAGAAAUUACAAAAAUGAAAAUUCACGUGCAGUAUGAAGUUGAUGGCUAUCAAUUAUUGAUGUGAAGUUGAUGGCUCUCAUGAAAUUAAUAGCUGAGAUCCAUAAAAUAAUUUAAAUAAUUUGACUAAAUUUACCUGAGUUUCCACCAAUUACAAAUGAGGUAUGUAACAAAAUUCUCACAACAAAAUGACUACUGAUGAACGUAUAGUCGUUGUUUAUUCAAAUGCAGCAAAAUUAUCUUCUCUUCUCCAUUAUUCUUACUCAUUAUAUUUCAAGAGUCAAAUUAUUUUCCUCUAAAUUUGGCAUUGUUGCGACAUUCCCACCUCUUCAUCAUCCAAUACAUUUCUCUUCCCUUCCUUCAAUCUCUCCUCCUCCACCACCAACACCACAAACAACCACCCCCAUCACCACAAGCCUCCACCACCAUCAAAUUUACCAAAGCAAACUUUCCAAACAAAAUCAACCCAAAAUUCAAGAAACUCUUCAAAGAAAAUCAAAGAAAGAACACUAACAUCAUCGUCUUUGCUAAAAAUAGGGUUCAACCCGUAACGAUGUUCCGACUUCACAAACCAAUAGGGUUCUACUUAUAGUUGCGUUGAAGGUAGUGGUGGUUGUGUCAGGUGGUUUAUGAUUGGUGGGAGAUUGAAGGGUAUAGUGUUGGCAGCAAGAGAGAUGGUUGUGUAGAAGGAAGGUGGUGAAGGGAUAGAGGUUGACAUGGGGUAACAAUGAAAAUUUGUGGGAAAAAAAAGACAAACUAACCAUCAUCUGUCAAUUUUUAACAGAAUGAUUAAGCUGAAUUCAUUUGAAAACAUUUGGUUGGAGUGAUAGUGAAACAAAAUUACAAAAUAACUUCAGGAGUAUCAAGUGUGCUUUUUUCCUAAAAAGAACAUUCUACUAAGGAAUUUACAAUUGAAAACAUUCCCAUAAUCUGCGAAGUUGGCCAAGAAAAUGCUUUGACUGAUUUCUUCGUGCAUCGAAACCGUAGGUUUUAGAGAAACCUCAGUUGUCAAUGAACGAAUGGUUGGGACUGAGGUCCAGGUUCAGCGUCAGUUCCACCAUACUCAGCUCUCGGAUUUGAACCAUUACCAUUAUUAUUAGGUAU